AAGGAAGUGGCAGAGUGGUUAUGUGGCUGGCUUGAAACCAGCAUAUGGGGGUUCGAUUCCUCCCUUUCUCG
rnacentral:tRNA from 1 species